rnacentral:rRNA from 1 species
CAGCCGCCGCGGUAACACGGAGGGUGCAAGCGUUAAUCGGAAUUACUGGGCGUAAAGCGCACGCAGGCGGUCUGUCAAGUCGGAUGUGAAAUCCCCGGGCUCAACCUGGGAACUGCAUUCGAAACUGGCAGGCUAGAGUCUUGUAGAGGGGGGUAGAAUUCCAGGUGUAGCGGUGAAAUGCGUAGAGAUCUGGAGGAAUACCGGUGGCGAAGGCGGCCCCCUGGACAAAGACUGACGCUCAGGUGCGAAAGCGUGGGGAGCAAACAGGAUUAGAUACCCGCGUAGUCCCUGUCUCUUAUAC